GCUUUUGGUUCAAUGGUAGAAUGCUCGCCUGCCACGCGGGCGUCCCGGGAUCGAUUCCCGGCUUAUGCA
rnacentral:tRNA from 1 species